AACGAACGCUGGCGGCAUGCCUAACACAUGCAAGUCGAACGAAGGCUUCGGCCUUAGUGGCGCACGGGUGCGUAACGCGUGGGAAUCUGCCCUUGGGUUCGGAAUAACUCAGAGAAAUUUGAGCUAAUACCGGAUGAUGACGUAAGUCCAAAGAUUUAUCGCCCAAGGAUGAGCCCGCGUAGGAUUAGCUUGUUGGUGAGGUAAAGGCUCACCAAGGCGACGAUCCUUAGCUGGUCUGAGAGGAUGAUCAGCCACACUGGGACUGAGACACGGCCCAGACUCCUACGGGAGGCAGCAGUGGGGAAUAUUGGACAAUGGGCGAAAGCCUGAUCCAGCAAUGCCGCGUGAGUGAUGAAGGCCUUAGGGUUGUAAAGCUCUUUUACCCGGGAUGAUAAUGACAGUACCGGGAGAAUAAGCUCCGGCUAACUCCGUG
rnacentral:rRNA from 1 species